GUGUGUGUGUGAGUGUGUGUGUGUGUGUGUGUGUGUGUGUGUGUGUGUGGCUAACCUGGGCUAUGUGAGACCCUGUAUCUGACUAACAAACAAAAGAAACCAUUAGGUGCUAAAUGGCUGACUAUGAAAAGCCCUAAUCCUAGGACUCAACAGAGCAUCAUUGUAAGACUCCAUUCCCCCAAGAAGAGUCCUCAGACAAAUUCAUUAGAUUCUUGUUAUAGUUGGUAAGGAGACUACUUGUGAACAGAUAAUGCAAUUUCCAAUAAUAGGUGUUGUAGAUAAAGGAGAGUAAAGUGAUAGCUUCAUGGAGGUUGUCCUCAGGGAAAGCCUCCUGAAAUGGUGACAUUUGAAGGGAGUUCUGAGUGGUGACACUCAGCCAGCUCUGUGACAAACCAGAAGAAAGCCUUAGGCCAGCAUGUCUCAUGAGGAAAGAUUACACUCCAAAGUCCGUAGGGGCGUGCAUGUUCUUUGACACCCUUGAAAGAGAUUGGCCCUGGCUGGAACCCGGGCUGCAGGGAGGGGUUGGGGGAGCUGGUUCCUGGAUAGACACGCAGGACCUUUGGAAUGCUCACGACUGCACUCUGCAGUAUUUAUGCCUCUCCUCCAAAUGGAAAUCAGCUUUGUCAUGAAGGCCGAGAAAACGCCGAAUAAGGCAACUUCAGAACAGGAGAAGCUGCCAUGGUUCACUGGAAUUGCUUUAAAGUUAGGCCGUGUUGUCGUGGGGCAGUCAUACCGCAGCCUGUUCUGCCCUUGGUCUAGGCUGGACUCAGUGUCCUGCCAUUUCAGCAGUGUGUCCCCGGUUCCCUGUGCUUCAAGGCUAUUUGUAUUGUGUUGCUGUGGCCCCUGGGUUCCAUCCCUCAGGGAUCUGGUGCAGGUAAUGGACCUUUGUAUCACUCACAGCCCAUUUCAGAGGCCUUAGAAACUAGCAAAGUGAUCACCUCUUUGCCUGGGCAGCUGGUAACCUAGAUUCCAGAAGGCCGAGCCCUGAAAGUACCUUUAUAGUUAGUGACAAGGCCCAGGGCCCAGGAGCAGUCUCUGCUUUCAGGAAGUGAAAAGCUGUCUCACUGGGUCCAGCUUGGCCUGCGCCUGGCAGAUAGGCGAUAACAAAGGUGGCUAUUUACCAUAGAAAUAAAUAACUGCAUCUCUCCAUGGCCAAGUCCUGGAUGUCCUGUCUGAGGACCCAUGGAAGCAGGAGGCAUGGGCACUGUCAGAGGCCACAGCAGACAAGGUGGGACUUCAGGAGGUGGGAUGGCGCCCUCUCCCUCAAAGCAGCCGGUGCCCCAGCGGAGCUACAGACCCAACACACCCAACACGGUAUUUCAGAGAUGAGGUUUGAAACCCCAGGACCCCUGGCCUCUGUGUUCCUUGGGGGAGGUUGCUGUGGGCAACUUCAGUUCACCCUAGGCCAAGGGAAGUGCAGUUCAGUCUCUUUGGGUCAGGCAGUGGAUUGAUUGGCUUGCUGAGUGGGUGGCAGUGCAGAACGGGGGCUGGCGGUUGUGAAUCUUGAGGUAUUGAACAGUUUAUCCUAAAAUUGUGUCAAGUGAGAGGUUGAUGGAACCCACAUGUGUGGUGUGCUGGGUAGACCAAACUCUUUGUCCCUUCACAUCAGGGCCAGCAUGUGUGCCCUAGCCUUGGAACACAUCACAGCCUGUCUCUUAGGUUCAGACAGACAUUACAGGGCUUUUUGUUCUGUGCUGGUGCAAAGAACGACUUUUGUAUUGGGGAAUGAAAAAGAAAAUAGAAGGGACAAUUCCAGCUGGGCCAACUGCAUACUGUCAAGGGUCAUCCUUGUAUUUGCCAUCCCAGCCUGCUAUGGCACUUGGCCACUGGCUUUGGGAGUGUUUGCUUUCUUUCUUGCUCAGGGACAACCCAGAGAGAGCUCACCUCUCCGGGUUGGGGGAGGCGUCUCCAUCAAUGAAAGGCUCAUUAAAGCCCACUGCUGCCACAUUCCUGGCCGCUUAAGUCACCUCACAAACAAUAUCCAUCAUUCAUUUACCCAGCCGCCCCACAUCCUGAUGGCUGGGAGGGGACCCUGUGACACAGGAAGGACUUUAUGACCAGUGAUGCCAAGCUUUCUUCCCCUCCCCCAACCCUAGCUAGGGUCCCUAAGGAGGCUGCUCACUGUACCCAGCUCAGCCCUGGCCUCACCUAAAGUUGUGCUGAGCACUGAGCUUCCCCUCUCCUCCGGCUGCGGCUGCCUUUUUACCGUGCCUCUGGCCGGGAGCAGCAUGGCAGCCCCAAAAGGGCUUUGCCUGCUUCAGCAGGAACAGCACCUUCUUGAUGAAGUCUGCAGACUCUCCAGAACCAGUUCAGUUGCUUACAGCCCAUGCAGACACUCUGGCUUCUCCCCAGUGACACUGAGGCGUGAGUCUGCAUCUAAGUCACACCAGGCAUUCUUGACGUGGCUUCUCUGCCCUCCUCUUGCCAGAAGAAAGUUUCUACUUUCUCUGCAUCUUUCUUUUCUUCCUGGUUCUAGCACACUGGCCUCCUGCUUUUUAUAUACACUCCAUGUGAUCUUUGCAAGACCCAGGAAGCUGUCCUGCUGUCAUUCUUUAUUCUUGCUCCUGAAUUUGAGCAGGUUCUGCUUCCAUUUGUGUCUUAUUCUUUGUGAUUCCCUCACCGCUGCUGCAUAUAUAUUCAUUCAUUCUCAUUCUCUCUCUCUCUCUCUCUCUCUCUCUCUCUCAAUGGGUAUGACUGGUGUGGGCAGCUGCCUCGGCCAAAGCUCUCCAUUUUCUCUUGUGUUAACUAGGAGCAGUACUAGUACUGCUUCACUGAGCUGUGUGAGAGUAGACAUGCUGCUGUGGGGCAGGCAUGUGGACUGGGGCUGCCAGUGAGCUGCUUGUGACAAAUCUGCUGUAGUGAUUGUUCCUCACUGCUAAGGGAUGCUUGAUGUGGAAUGUGACUGGAUUGAUUGGUUGUGCACUGGCCCUGCUAAGGGUGAGGAGUAUGCUAACUCAGUUUCUAUCUGGUGGUGCGGUGUUGUUGUUUGGUUUGGUUUGGUUGUUUUGAAACAGGGUCUCUCUACAUAACCCUGGUUGUCUUAUGUUAACCAGGUUGGCCUUGAACUUACAGAGAUCUACUUGUCUCUACCUUCUGAGUGCUGGGAUUAAAGCUUCCUUGUCCGUCUUUUCUGUCAGGGCUUGAUUCCCGCUAGGUACUCACUCCACAGGCCUGGCCUAGAGACAGAAACAUAGCAGAUGGCUGACUCCAGGCAACUGGAUUGUUGCAAGUAGGCCUGGGAAUUGAGCACAGAGGAGGAAGUUGGGGUGGGCACAGGGAGUGAGGCCUCCAGCUAUAGAAACCACCCUCUGCCGUCCACCUCACAGUGCUAAUAUGUACUGGGAACGGAGAGAAAGAAUCUGAGCAGAGUGUUAUUUUUGUGACCAAGUAUAAAAAAGCUAUGAAUUUUUAAUGUCCCUUUUCAACCCUAGAACCCCCUCACUUAUCCUGCUGCAUGGAGCAGUGGUGACUGCAGCCACUUGUUCCCACAAGCUUCCUGAGUGUCCUCACUUCAGGACAGGACAGUUACACAUCAGCAGACAGCUAGCUAUUCAGUUCCCGAGAACACUUCAGGGACAGGAAGGAGCACCUCUGUGUCCCUUUGCUGGAUGUCUUCUUGGCAUCUGCUCUGUGUUGUACAGUGAGAAAGACAGAUGCACAUGGCAUAGCCACCAGUCAUCAAAAUGGGCCUUUGGCAUGUGCAUGACCCUGAGCCUCAUGUGCCAGGCAGGCCCCGUGUAGCUUUGGCGUGUGCAUGACCUUGAGCCUCAUGUGCCAGGCAGGCCCCAUGUAGAAGGACUGACUUACAUCACUCUGUUUAAUCCUCAUCUUAGGAGAGAUUUCGGUCACCAUUCAGCUUUCUGCCCAAGGUUAUGGCAGUUUGCCUCAGUCAGUGGCAGAGGCAAGACUUUUACUUCCCAGAGGACAUGAGUGAAGGUGGAAGGUGUGUUUCAAGGGCAAGCAGUAUGGCAGCCCCUGUGAGGACAGGUGGCUGCCCCUGAGCAGUAGGGUCUAGUCAUCAUCUCCCUCAUCUCGUGUGGGGACGAACGGGAUAUCUACACAGACAUUCUUACAGUCUCAUUUCCCCUCUGCACUGCAGGAGUCGGCCAAGGGCCUGUGCACAAAGAGGGCAUCCUGCCCUUCCUGAGGAUUGGUAGGAAGGAGCCAUUAGUGUGUAUGAUUCAUCUGGCACUAUCUGCCCGGCCUGUGACAGAUGCUUAACUGCCUUUCUCCACAAUUAAAACUUAAAGCAACUACAGGAGGUGGACUCUGAUCAAUCCAUUUUACAGGACAAGAGACAAGCUCAAUGGGGAAAGUCAGUUGGAAACAGAACAAAUUACCCAAGUAGCUGGCAUGGAGACCCUCAUCUGUUCCCUUCCCGCCGUGUGCUAGAACAACACAUGUAGGCAAAGACACCCUUCAGACACGUGCCCUGGACUCUGAGUGACAUCCGAGUACCAGGAAGCUCACCCUCCAGGAAUUGCCUUCCUACAAGCUCAGGCUAUCAGGUGUGACUUGGUCACCUUGUGGUCCAUCAGCAUCUUUAACACACAUGAAGAGCAGAGAUGGCCUGCUCAGCCUUGUCUCCUUCUGCACCCUGGGCCGUAUUCCCCUUGAGCUUUGCUCUUGAGAUUAGCAGUGCUGUGGAUAAGACCCAAGGGCUUUGUGCAGUAGGCACGCACACCACCACUGAAUCAUGCCCCAGCUUAUCUCUGAGUACAGUACCUGCCCACUGUAUUUUGGACAACAAGAAGGAUCACACAUGGCAGGAGAGUGGGGUGUGUGUCUGCUAGAAUCCGUACAACAAUUAAAAAAGGCAUGGUAGUUCACACUUGUCAUCCUAGUGCUUGGGAGGGGGAGGCAAGAAGAUUGAGAGUUCAAAGCCAACGCAGUGGAGAUGGCUUAGUGGUAAAGAGCACCCCCAGAAGGCCUGUGUUCAACCCCCAGCACCCACAUGGCAGUUCACAGCUGUGUAUAAAUUCUAGUUUCAGAGAAUUCGAUGCCCUCUUCUAGGUUUCAAAAUUAAAAAGUUCAAAGCCACAUAGUGAGAGGGAGGCUAGCCUCUCUUACUCCCCCAACCCCC
rnacentral:lncRNA from 1 species